AUUCAGCUGUGUGACGAAGAGGUGGAGCCUGGCUGCACCUCUCCUAGACCCCAUUUAAGGGGAAGGUUCUCUUUCUGGAGUGUUCUUUUGGUGCAGCUUUCCUUUGCAAACCCUUCUGGUGCAGGUUGAGGUGAGAGGUGCUUCAUGCGCAAAGUAAAGAGGCUUCUGCAUGCAAGGACUGCCAGCUCUUUUGUGGCAGCUCUUUUCACUUUAGAAGUGGGAACCAGCUGAAUCCAGCAGAGAUCACAAAGCAGGCAGUAACCCUUGGCAGAGAACUUGGGGAUGUGAGCUCUUGAAUUAACCCACGUGAAUCAGGAGAUCAGGGACAGACUUCUCAAGUCUCACACACUGCACAG